CCUACGGGUGGCUGCAGUCGAGGAUCUUCGGCAAUGGGGGAAACCCUGACCGAGCGAGGCCGCGUGUGCGAUGAAGGCCUUCGGGUUGUAAAGCACUGUCGAGGGGGAGAAAACCGCAAGGGUGAUCUAUCCCUGGAGGAAGGACGGGCUAAGUUCGUGCCAGCAGCCGCGGUAAGACGAACCGUCCAAACGUUGUUCGGAAUCACUGGGCUUAAAGGGCGCGUAGGCGGGCUAUCAAGUCCGGGGUGAAAUCCUCCAGCUUAACUGGAGAACGG
rnacentral:rRNA from 1 species